AAGUCGUAACAAGGUAACCGUAGGUGAACCUGCGGUUGGAUCAUUAGUGGUUUUUACGUAGCGCUGUUGUAGUGUUUCUGUGUGGUGUUUGGGGGUGGUCUUUGAGUUUGUUGUUGGUUGUUUGUCUGUUUUUGUGCAUUGCCUUGUGCGUGCCUGGCAGUACAAACGAUCGACGGCAACACUCGGACCAGACCCAAGCCCUUGCAGACAAUAGACGUCUUUGCUUGCUUUGAUGAAACCAAAUCAAAAACAACUUUUGACAACGGAUCUCUUGGCUCUC
rnacentral:misc_RNA from 1 species